UACGUAGGGCGCAAGCGUUGUCCGGAAUUAUUGGGCGUAAAGAGCUCGUAGGCGGUUUGUCGCGUCUGCUGUGAAAACGCGAGGCUUAACCUCGCGCCUGCAGUGGGUACGGGCAGACUAGAGUGCGGUAGGGGAGACUGGAAUUCCUGGUGUAGCGGUGGAAUGCGCAGAUAUCAGGAGGAACACCGGUGGCGAAGGCGGGUCUCUGGGCCGUUACUGACGCUGAGAAGCGAAAGCAUGGGGAGCGAACAGG
rnacentral:rRNA from 1 species